rnacentral:rRNA from 1 species
CUUGAGGCGUGGCUUCCGGAGCUAACGCGUUAAAUCGACCGCCUGGGGAGUACGGCCGCAAGGUUAAAACUCAAAUGAAUUGACGGGGGCCCGCACAAGCGGUGGAGCAUGUGGUUUAAUUCGAUGCAACGCGAAGAACCUUACCUACUCUUGACAUCCAGAGAACUUUCCAGAGAUGGAUUGGUGCCUUCGGGAACUCUGAGACAGGUGCUGCAUGGCUGUCGUCAGCUCGUGUUGUGAAAUGUUGGGUUAAGUCCCGCAACGAGCGCAACCCUUAUCCUUUGUUGCCAGCGAUUCGGUCGGGAACUCAAAGGAGACUGCCGGUGAUAAACCGGAGGAAGGUGGGGAUGACGUCAAGUCAUCAUGGCCCUUACGAGUAGGGCUACACACGUGCUACAAUGGCGUAUACAAAGAGAAGCGACCUCGCGAGAGCAAGCGGACCUCAUAAAGUACGUCGUAGUCCGGAUUGGAGUCUGCAACUCGACUCCAUGAAGUCGGAAUCGCUAGUAAUCGUAGAUCAGAAUGCUACGGUGAAUACGUUCCCGGGCCUUGUACACACCGCCCGUCACACCAUGGGAGUGGGUUGCAAAAGAAGUAGG